UACGGGGGGGGGUAAGCGUUGUUCGGAAUUACUGGGCGUAAAGGGCUCGUAGGCGGCCAACUAAGUCAGACGUGAAAUCCCUCAGCUUAACUGGGGGAACUGCGUCUGAUACUGGAUGGCUUGGAUUCGGGAGAGGAAUGCGGAAUUCCAGGUGUAGCGGUGAAAUGCGUAGAUAUCUGGAGGAACACCGGUGGCGAAGGCGGCAUUCUGGACCGACAUUGACGCUGAGGAGCGAAAGCCAGGGGAGCAAACGGG
rnacentral:rRNA from 1 species